GUGGGGAAUCUUGCGCAAUGGGCGAAAGCCUGACGCAGCAACGCCGCGUGGGGGAUGAAGGCUCUCGGGUUGUAAACCCCUUUCAGCAGGGACGAAUCAAGACGGUACCUGCAGAAGAAGCCCCGGCUAACUACGUGCCAGCAGCCGCGGUAACACGUAGGGGGCAAGCGUUGUCCGGAUUUAUUGGGCGUAAAGAGCUCGUAGGUGGCUGAGUAAGUCGGAUGUCAAAUCCCCAGGAUCAACCUGGGAUCCCAUCCGAUACUGCUCUGGCUAGAGUCCGGUAGGGGAGCGUGGAAUUCCUGGUGUAGCGGUGAAAUGCGCAGAUAUCAGGAGGAACACCAGUGGCGAAGGCGGCGCUCUGGGCCGGUACUGACACUGAGGAGCGAAAGCGUGGGUAGCAAACAGGAUUAGAAACCCCUGUAGUCC
rnacentral:rRNA from 1 species